rnacentral:rRNA from 1 species
AACGCGAAGAACCUUACCAAGGCUUAAAUGGGAAAUGACAGGUUUAGAAAUAGACUUUUCUUCGGACAUUUUUCAAGGUGCUGCAUGGUUGUCGUCAGCUCGUGCCGUGAGGUGUUAGGUUAAGUCCUGCAACGAGCGCAACCCCUGUCACUAGUUGCCAUCAUUAAGUUGGGGACUCUAGUGAGACUGCCUACGCAAGUAGAGAGGAAGGUGGGGAUGACGUCAAAUCAUCACGGCCCUUACGCCUUGGGCCACACACGUAAUACAAUGGCCAGUACAGAGGGCAGCUACACAGCGAUGUGAUGCAAAUCUCGAAAGCUGGUCUCAGUUCGGAUUGGAGUCUGCAACUCGACUCUAUGAAGCUGGAAUCGCUAGUAAUCGCGCAUCAGCCAUGGCGCGGUGAAUACGUUCCCGGGCCUUGUACACACCGCGCAUA